AUUGUGGAAAAUUUGCUUCACCAACAUGAAAAACUCUACUGCAGUUAGCUUCCUUCGGAAUAGGAUAAUUAUUUAAAUGACCGUCUGAGUUAAACGCUUACUGUUAAAAAUGCAUUACACUAGACUAACAGAAAAUGAUUCUUAUAUUUAUUGGCUAUACUAUAGGCGUAUUUAUAAUCGAGUAUAUAUGUAUAUACUAGAUAUUUGGAUAAGCUCUCCUCCUGUUUGCCUUCAGUCUCUAAUUUACCUGAGAGCACAAGUACAAGAAUAUCCCUUAAUUGAGAUGUUUUUUGUUUGAUUAAUAAAGAUAAAGGAUUUUAAGGUCGCUCAGUUCAUAAUUCAAGUGUUAUAAAUAAAUAUAAGAUACUUCCAAUAGUUAUCAAAACUAAAAAUGUGUGCCUCUUGUUCAAGUUUGAAAAUGUUUCGCUUAGGUAAACCUGACUUUGGUUGUUGUUGCAGCGCCUGAAAAUAUACCUACGGAUAAAAGUCCGGGUCCGAUCCGUUUACUUAGCCCCGACUGUCUUGAAUCUUCCAAAUUGAAAUAAACAUCAAAUUGUAACAAUCAUAACAGGUCUUGUACACAAAAAAAUAUAGGAGUCCGGGAUGUUCGGGCAAUAUAGCAAGGGAUCACAUUCGACGCAAAAAUGUUGCAGUUCAAGUUCCAACCGGGCCCACCAGAUCUGUGCACUGGGAUAGCUGAAAAAGCGUUUAGCUGAAACAGAAGUGUCAAAUGGACUAGCCCGCUUUGCAGAGGCAAACUUUCUGCUGGGAUCAGCAGUGGAGCCCUAUAUCAUAUACCAG